CGAAAGCGUGGGGAGCGAACAGGAUUAGAUACCCUGGUAGUCCACGCCGUAAACGGUGGAUGCUGGAUGUGGGGCCCGUUCCACGGGUUCCGUGUCGGAGCUAACGCGUUAAGCAUCCCGCCUGGGGAGUACGGCCGCAAGGCUAAAACUCAAAGAAAUUGACGGGGGCCCGCACAAGCGGCGGAGCAUGCGGAUUAAUUCGAUGCAACGCGAAGAACCUUACCUGGGCUUGACAUGUUCCCGACGGUCGUAGAGAUACGGCUUCCCUUCGGGGCGGGUUCACAGGUGGUGCAUGGUCGUCGUCAGCUCGUGUCGUGAGAUGUUGGGUUAAGUCCCGCAACGAGCGCAACCCUCGCCCUGUGUUGCCAGCACGUCAUGGUGGGAACUCACGGGGGACCGCCGGGGUCAACUCGGAGGAAGGUGGGGAUGACGUCAGAUCAUCAUGCCCCUUACGUCCAGGGCUUCACGCAUGCUACAAUGGCCGGUACAACGGGAUGCGAUGCGGCGACGCGGAGCGGAUCCCUGAAAACCGGUCUCAGUUCGGAUCGCAGUCUGCAACUCGACUGCGUGAAGGCGGAGUCGCUAGUAAUCGCGAAUCAGCAACGUCGCGGUGAAUGCGUUCCCGGGCCUUGUACACACCGCCCGUCAAGUCAUGAAAGUGGGCAGCACCCGAAGCCGGUGGCCUAACCCCUUGUGGGAUGGAGCCGUCUAAGGUGAGGCUCGUGAUUGGGACUAAGUCGUAACAAGGUAGCCGUACCGGAAGGUGCGGCUG
rnacentral:rRNA from 1 species